AAUCGGGAUCGAUUAAGCCAUGCGAGUCGAGAGGGUUCGGCCCUCGGCUGACGGCUCAGUAACACGUGGAUCACUUGCCCUCAGGUAGGGGAUAAUCUCGGGAAACUGAGGAUAAUACCCUAUAGGCAUCCUUUGCUGGAAUGCUUGGAUGUUCAAAGGCAACGCCUGAGGAUAGGUCUGCGGCCUAUCAGGUAGUAGUGGGUGUAACGGACCCACUAGCCAGCGACGGGUACGGGCCUUGAAAGAGGUAGCCCGGAGAUGGACUCUGAGACACGAGUCCAGGCCCUACGGGGCGCAGCAGGCGCGAAAACUUCGCAAUGCGGGAAACCGUGACGAGGGAAUCCCGAGUGCUCAUACAAUGUAUGGGCUUUUCUUAUGUGUAAAUAGCAUGAGGAAUAAGGGCUGGGUAAGACCGGUGCCAGCCGCCGCGGUAAUACCGGCAGCUCUAGUGGUAGCCACUUUUAUUGGGCCUAAAGCGUCCGUAGCCGGUCAGGUAAAUCCUUGGGUAAAUCGUACAGCUUAACUGUGCGGCUUCCGGGGAGACUGCCUGACUUGGGACCGGGAGAGGUUGGAGGUACUCCUGGGGUAGGGGUGAAAUCCUGUAAUCCUAGGUGGACCACCGGUGGCGAAGGCGUCCAACCAGAACGGCUCCGACGGUGAGGGACGAAGGCUAGGGGCGCAAACCGGAUUAGAUACCCGGGUAGUCCUAGCUGUAAACGCUGCAGACUUGGUGUUGGAGAUCCCACGAGGGUGUCCAGUGCCGGAGAGAAGUUGUUAAGUUUGCCGCCUGGGAAGUAUGGCCGCAAGGCUGAAACUCAAAGGAAUUUGACGG
rnacentral:rRNA from 1 species